CCCUGUCACACCAUCUUAAGAUCUGUUUCUUUAUCUGGUGAUGGCUAAUUCGUCAUAUUGGAACCAAGUAGGAGCCACACUUUGAGAUGAAGUUUCUCCAGAUUUGAGUGCAGUAUCCUGCCUUUGUUCUGUGAGAGGAGAUCCGCCCACAGUGGAAGAGUUCGGUGGGGCACAGACCACUAUACGCAUCAGAGACCAGUGAAGAAAGGCAGCACUGCCCUGAGUCCUGUCUUCAUCCAAGGACGGUUGAGAAGGAACUGAGGAGGGUGUGGGGAAGAUUCCAG